rnacentral:rRNA from 1 species
UACGUAGGGUGCGAGCGUUGUCCGGAAUUAUUGGGCGUAAAGGGCGCGUAGGCGGCUUUGCAAGUGACGGGUGAAAUCCCUCGGCUUAACCGAGGAACUGCCUGUCAGACUGCAUGGCUUGAGACCAGGAGAGGUGAGUGGAAUUCCCAGUGUAGCGGUGAAAUGCGUAGAUAUUGGGAGGAACACCAGUGGCGAAGGCGGCUCACUGGACUGGUACUGACGCUGAGGCGCGAAAGCGUGGGGAGCAAACAGG